ACACACACACACACACACACACAUAUAUAUAAGUCUCUUAUGUGUGGUUUUCUAGUGGAGCUAGUCUGAUCACAUCUAUUGCUUUACUCCCCAUUCCCCACCUUGGCUGAGGUAAAAUUUAAUGAAUUUCCUAAUUCUUUGUACAAAGUGAAAACCCUAUUUUUAUGCAUUAUGGGAGCUGAUGCUAAUAUCUGUAUUGAUGCUAUGAGACUUUGAGAUGAUCACAAAUAUAAAAUGAAUUCAAACUUUUGUUGUAGUAAUAACUCUUGAAACACUAACAAACUAAGAAGAAUGUGGGAGAAAAAAGAAUGCCACAGAUGGGUUUGGGAUACCUCUAAAAUGCAUAAAAUGCAAUAUGGACAAUAUUCAUCAUGAUAUUGAAAUGGAACUAUUCAAGAAUUAAAAUGUACCAUUGCCAUAAUCUUACUGGAUGAUCUUUUCUCAAAUUUCAGAUCUUCCAAAACGGCAUUGUUAUCAGUAGAUACAUAAAAGCAAAACUUAUAGAGUAUGUUUUAUUCAAUAUCAGUUGCUAAAGAUACUAAUUAUGUGAUGGCGGUCACUUAAUGAGUGGAUAUUAGUAGAUAGUAGCUGUGAAAGUGCAAAAAUUUUGCAUAUUCUUCUGCCUUUGUCUAGAGUAUCAUUUCCAGAGCCAUAACCUCUCUCCAAACGAAGAAAAAACGGAAGGAGAUUGUAAGAAGGAGGAAAGGAGAAAGGAAGGAAGGAACAAAAGAAAGAAGGAAAGGAACAAAGAAAGAAAAAAGAAACAAAGAAAGGAGCAAAGAAAGUCAUUGAAGUCCAAGUGGUAUGACAAAAGUCAGGAUGACUGCGGAUGGCCCAGGAUGCAGUAGAUGACUUGACAUCUUCCUUGAAUGACCAAGCCCUAUGUACUCCGCGACACCUGUUCUAUCCACCUUCAUGGCUUUUGAAACAACUAGUUCUUAUCCAUCAUUCUGCUGAGGGAAGUCUUCACAUGUUUGGGAUAGACUUCUUUCUAACUCACUACAGAGUUUGAGGCCUCUCUAUUACUUUCAAUAUACUUUGGCUUGUUUUCCCAGACAGUUUUAUCAGGUUGUGGUCACUGUGUAAGCUACAGCUUCUUGGAGCCACAGAUUCAUCAAAGUCCAGUGACAGGACAAAAGUCAAGACAAAUGACUAUGGUAUGUAGUGGAUGAUGACUUUGGUGUCUUCAGUAUCUGAUCAAGCUCUUAAGUACUUCACAGUGUUUGCUUCAGCCACUUUCAUAUCCAUGGGAACAAGUUUUCAUUCUGCCUGAGAAGUCCUUACAUGUUUGAGGUGGAUAUCCCCCCCCAGCUACUGACAAAUUUGAAACCCCUUGUUACCUUCAACCUGGCUUAGCUACAGCUUCUUGGAAUCACAGGUAAGAGUUGGGUGAAUCAGAUGGCCAACAAACAGGGCCUGAAAAGGACUCAACAAGUCCUCAUCCCAGAGUUGCUAGUCCUUUCAGAUCAUUCCACACACCUCAUUUAAAAGCUAAAAUGGAGGUGAAAGGAGAGGUAGAAGUACUUGGCAAGGGGAUUAAUGAUCAGUGGAGUCCAGACAGAUGGGAAGUGUAGAGAUGGCUUCACUUAUUGUUGUCCUAAAAUAGAGCAGUCUCAUCUUCCACCUUUUCCAGUCAAAAAGAAGAUGGUUUUUGAAGAGAUGUGAGUUCCAGGGUUGAUGAGGUCUUGCAGGAGUAUGAGGUUCCUGAAAGAAUAAGGAAAUCAGAGAACAGCCAGAUGGAAAUGAAGUUGUUUUGCACAUUGGAUGAAGAGAGAUUAUUUUAUACAAGAAAUGUCUUGAAUUUAUCUAAUUGUCUUAUCAAAUCUCUUAUAAUGUGGCCCUACUUAAAUACUCAAUAAAAGACUUUUAGUAA